AUUCAUCUAGUUUCCUAGUUUCACAUAUCAGAUCAAGACAUUCAUUUAUGAGCACAAGAGAAUCAAGAUCAGGGGCGUUAUCCUCACCACAAGGCAAGCAAAUUUCCUCAAGUUUAAGUUCUAAAGUGGAAAUGCUUAUACCUUCCAGCUGGGGUGGUGGAACCCAAUACAUUACCUCAUCAAGGGCACAAGCAGCAUCAAACUCAUACUGGUUAACAUCUCUUCCUUCAAACUCUGCUCUAUCCCUAAUAAGGUGUAUCCGGACCAUUUGUGCUAGGUGUCUUAUUGGCUUGCCCCAAUACUCUUUCGUUCUCUGAAGCCGGUGUAACUCCACUCUUUGAUCUGGUGUGAGUAUGCGUAUAUCAAAGGGUGGUGGCUUCACAUAUGGCUGAUCUU
rnacentral:lncRNA from 1 species